rnacentral:rRNA from 1 species
GACGAACGCUGGCUGCGUGCUUAACACAUGCAAGUCGAACGGCAAGGCCCUGCUUUUGUGGGGUGCUCGAGUGGCGCCCGGGUGCGUAACACGUGAGUAUCCUGCCCUUGACUUUUGGAUAACUUCAGGAAACUGGGGCUAAUACCGGAUAGGAGCUCCUGCUUCAUGGUGGGGGUUGGAAAGUUUCGGCGGUUGGGGAUGGACUCGCGGCUUAUCAGCUUGUUGGUGGGGUAGUGGCUUACCUAGGCUUUGGCGGGUAGCCGGCCUGAGAGGGUGACUGGCAACAUGGGGACUGAGAUACGGCCCAGACUCCUAAGGGAGGCAGCAGUGUGGAAUAGUGCACGAAGGGCGGAAGUCUGAUGCAGGAACGCCGCGUGCUGGAUGAUGGCCUUCGGGUAGUAAACCGCUUUCGCCGGUAUCUAUGCGCGAGUGACGGUAAUGGAUAAAGAAGCACCGGCUAACUACGUG